UACGUAGGGUGCAAGCGUUGUCCGGAAUUAUUGGGCGUAAAGAGCUCGUAGGCGGUUUGUUGCGUCGGCUGUGAAAACCUGAGGCUCAACCUCAGGCCUGCAGUCGAUACGAGCAGACUAGAGUGUUGCAGGGGAGACUGGAAUUCCUGGUGUAGCGGUGAAAUGCGCGGAUAUCAGGAGGAACACCGGUGGCGAAGGCGGGUCUCUGGGCCGAUACUGACGCUGAGGAGCGAAAGCGUGGGGAGCGAACAGG
rnacentral:rRNA from 1 species